rnacentral:rRNA from 1 species
AAGACCUUGCGCUUUUGGAGCGGCCGAUGCCUGAUUAGCUUGUUGGUAAGGUAAAAGCUUACCAAGGCUUCGAUCAGUAGCUGGUCUGAGAGGACGACCAGCCACACUGGGACUGAGACACGGCCCAGACUCCUACGGGAGGCAGCAGUGGGGAAUUUUGGACAAUGGGGGCAACCCUGAUCCAGCCAUGCCGCGUGAGUGAAGAAGGCCUUCGGGUUGUAAAGCUCUUUCAGCCGGAACGAAACGGUUACGGAUAACACCCGUGACUACUGACGGUACCGGAAGAAGAAGCACCGGCUAACUACGUGCCAGCAGCCGCGGUAAUACGUAGGGUGCGAGCGUUAAUCGGAAUUACCGGGCGUAAAGCGUGCGCAGGUGGUUUUGUAAGUCAGAUGUGAAAGCCCCGGGCUCAACCUGGGAACU